GAUGAACGCUGGCGGCGUGCCUAAUACAUGCAAGUCGAGCGAACAGAUGAGGAGCUUGCUCCUCUGACGUUAGCGGCGGACGGGUGAGUAACACGUGGAUAACCUACCUAUAAGACUGGGAUAACUUCGGGAAACCGGAGCUAAUACCGGAUAAUAUAUUGAACCGCAUGGUUCAAUAGUGAAAGACGGUUUUGCUGUCACUUAUAGAUGGAUCCGCGCCGCAUUAGCUAGUUGGUAAGGUAACGGCUUACCAAGGCAACGAUGCGUAGCCGACCUGAGAAGGUGAUCGGCCACACUGGAACUGAGACACGGUCCAGACUCCUACGGGAGGCAGCAGUAGGGAAUCUUCCGCAAUGGGCGAAAGCCUGACGGAGCAACGCCGCGUGAGUGAUGAAGGUCUUCGGAUCGUAGAACUCUGUUAUUAGGGAAGAACAAAUGUGUAAGUAACUAUGCACGUCUUGACGGUACCUAAUCAGAAAGCCACGGCUAACUACGUG
rnacentral:rRNA from 1 species